rnacentral:lncRNA from 1 species
CUCCAUGCCAAAAAGCCAUGGUCAUAUUAAGGGUCACGCCCAAAAUAAAUUAUAAUGAGAAAGAAGAGUCCUUCUCAUCUACUCCUCUUAAUUUUAUUACCAUAUUCCACACAUUUCAAUUUUUUGUGUGCCAUCUGAUGGAGCUACGGGAUGUGUGAGCAUGGAAAAGGAGAAGGAGUCCUUCUGUUGGAAGGAACUCCACACCAAUUUAUUUUGGACGCCUCCUUUAUUUUGGGCGUUAAAUUGGAAGAGUCCACUUCAUUUGGGACUCUUAAUUUCCUUAAUAUUCCAUGCAUUUUCUUCACCCCACACGCCAUCCGAUGGCUUGGGAUAAUGUUGGUGUAGAAGUGGAGGAGUCCUUUUGCUUGAAGGCUCUUCCACACCCAAAAACUUCUAUAUAAAAAUUAAACCUUUAUGGGAAGUAAUGGGACAUCGCUUGGGAUGUUGCUGC